CCUACGUGAGGCAGCAGUAGGGAAUUUUGCGCAAUGGGGGAAACCCUGACGCAGCAACGCCGCGUGAUCGAUGAAGCCCUUCGGGGUGUAAAGAUCUGUCAGUGGGGACGAAACCUGACGGUACCUGAGUAAGAAGCCCCGGCUAACUACGUGCCAGCAGCCGCGGUAAUACGUAGGGGGCAAGCGUUAUCCGGAUUUACUGGGUGUAAAGGGAGCGUAGACGGCAGUGCAAGUCUGGAGUGAAAGGCGGGGGCUCAACCCCCGGACUGCUCUGGAAACUGUACGGCUGGAGUGCAGGAGAGGUAAGUGGAAUUCCUAGUGUAGCGGUGAAAUGCGUAGAUAUUAGGAGGAACACCAGUGGCGAAGGCGGCUUACUGGACUGUAACUGACGUUGAGGCUCGAAAGCGUGGGGAGCAAACAGGAUUAGAUACCCCAGUAGUC
rnacentral:rRNA from 1 species